AAGUGCUGAAAGCAUCUAAGCACGAAACUUGCCCCGAGAUGAGUUCUCCCUGAGACUUUAAGUCUCCUGAAGGAACGUUGAAGACGACGACGUUGAUAGGCCGGGUGUGUAAGCGCAGCGAUGCGUUGAGCUAACCGGUACUAAUGAACCGUGAGGCUUAACCUUACAACGCCGAAG
rnacentral:rRNA from 2 species